AUCCAUAGGUCAGUGUUGCUUAUUUAAAUUUGAGCUUUUCGCACCAUUUAAGGCAGUUUCAACCUACGAAAAGUCAAAUUACUUCCAGGUUUUCGAAGUCGAGGCGAGGUCAAAGUCGACAGGUGCCUUAAAAACAACAGGAAGUAGAUUAUUGUUUAGGCUGCUUGUCAACAGGGGGCAGUAGCUGCAGCAGUGAGACCCAGCUCAUGGAGGUAAAAAUGAAGCCACAUCAACUUCAAAUGUGGAGGUGUUGAUGUUGAAGCCAGCUGUUGGCAGAAUGAGGACGCAUACACUUUUAAAAAUAUGGAGAAACCCCACCACUGCACCCAGGAGGAAGCCCCUCUAGGACUGAACCAAAAUCCAGGUGAAAUGACCCAUGAACAGAAGCUCAGGAGCCUGUAGGAGCAGGAGGACUGUGGGAGAUGCUCGUUUGCUUUCCUGUUGAGGGAUAAGGUGGGUGUCUUACCGUAGAAGCAGCUCCAGGAGUGCCAGGAGGUUCUGUUCCUCCUUCUGUUCUUCCCUGCAAACAUCGU